rnacentral:rRNA from 1 species
UACGUAGGGGGCAAGCGUUGUCCGGAUUCAUUGGGCGUAAAGCGCGUGUAGGCGGCCAGGUAGGUCCGCUGUGAAAACUCGAGGCUCAACCUCGAGAUGUCGGCGGAAACCAUCUGGCUAGAGUCCGGAAGAGGAGAGUGGAAUUCCCGGUGUAGCGGUGAAAUGCGCAGAUAUCGGGAAGAACACCCGUGGCGAAGGCGACUCUCUGGGACGGUACUGACGCUGAGACGCGAAAGCGUGGGGAGCGAACAGG